CCUACGGGAGGCAGCAGUGAGGAAUAUUGGUCAAUGGACGAGAGUCUGAACCAGCCAAGUAGCGUGAAGGAUGCCUGCCCUAUGGGUUGUAAACUUCUUUUAUAUGGGAAUAAAAUGUUCCACGUGUGGGAUUUUGUAUGUACCAUAUGAAUAAGGAUCGGCUAACUCCGUGCCAGCAGCCGCGGUAAUACGGAGGAUCCGAGCGUUAUCCGGAUUUAUUGGGUUUAAAGGGAGCGUAGGUGGAUUGUUAAGUCAGUUGUGAAAGUUUGCGGCUCAACCGUAAAAUUGCAGUUGAAACUGGCAGUCUGGAGUACAGUAGAGGUGGGCGGAAUUCGUGGUGUAGCGGUGAAAUGCUUAGAUAUCACGAAGAACUCCGAUUGCGAAGGCAGCUCACUGGACUGCAACUGACACUGAGGCUCGAAAGUGUGGGUAUCAAACAGGAUUAGAUACCCGAGUAGUC
rnacentral:rRNA from 1 species